rnacentral:lncRNA from 1 species
UUAUAAUAAGCAUUGCAAAAUAUUUGGAACACUCUCACUAGGUAUGCAACCAACGUUACAGACACUUGUAUUGAAAGUUGCUGUUGAUCGACGACAAAGUUGGUAACUUUGGGGAAUUCAGAACCUAGAAGUUGGUUUGUGUGUCGAUACGGCUUCCGGCUGACGUGAUUGUCAUUGUAGAGGGACCGGAUCGUCACUUCAAUCUCGGCUUUUGUGGAAGCAAGGCCUCACACCAGUGGCCAUUACGGAGAAUAUAAAAUUUUGGUUGAAAUGUUUUAAAUAGAAUAUUAAUUUACGUGAGAAGGAGUUGUUUUGUUUUUGGUUAAGUGUUUGAAAGGAAGAGUUUUUGUGUUCCAACACCGUUUUUUGAAGAGUAAUGGCCACUGGUGGAGACCAAGAUUAAGUCACCCAAACAAAUUUUGAAAUGGAAUAGACAAUCAUUUUGGGUUUUUGGGCAUUGGAUGGAGUUUAGUUUUGGUUUAUUUUUUUUGGAAAAUAUAUAGUUUUCCCGGUGCUAGGAAGUAGCUCCUUGUCGCACCUCAUCUUCAUACCUUCUGGUUGGUGAGAAGUACUUCCCCUAAGGUAGGGAAAACCGGAAGAUACCUUACUUGGCUCUCCCCGUAUCAACUACUGGAGUUUGGAGAAGCCACAGUCCUGCAUUUAGUAGAAACGACAGGUUUUUAUUGUUAAAAUUUACAUUUACAAUCCUUUUGCCUAAUAUUUUUUUUUCAACUUUAACAUUUUUAAUAACAUAGAUAACCUUAAAAAUCAUGUAAAUUCAACUCUUCUAAAAUCAAUUCACUUUAUCAUAUUAAAUAUUUUCUUUUCAACA